AGAGUCGGCACCUCGUAUGGGAUCCGUCCGCGCCGCCUGGCGGCCGUGAUGCAAGGGUCCGCGAUGACCCGGCAGGGCUGGAGGAGACCGCACAUG
rnacentral:ncRNA from 1 species